rnacentral:rRNA from 1 species
GCGGCCUAUCAGCUUGUUGGUGGGGUGAUGGCCUACCAAGGCGACGACGGGUAGCCGGCCUGAGAGGGUGUCCGGCCACACUGGGACUGAGAUACGGCCCAGACUCCUACGGGAGGCAGCAGUGGGGAAUAUUGCACAAUGGGCGCAAGCCUGAUGCAGCGACGCCGCGUGGGGGAUGACGGCCUUCGGGUUGUAAACCUCUUUCACCAUCGGCGAAGCCCAUAGCUUGUGUUGUGGGUGACGGUAGGUGGAGAAGAAGCACCGGCCAACUACGUGCCAGCAGCCGCGGUAAUACGUAGGGUGCGAGCGUUGUCCGGAAUUACUGAGCGUAAAGAGCUCGUAGGUGGUUUGUCGCGUUGUCCGUGAAAUUCCCUGGCUUAACUGGGGGCGUGCGGGCGAUACGGGCAGACUGGAGUACUGCAGGGGAGACUGGAAUUCCUGGUGUAGCGGUGGAAUGCGCAGAUAUCAGGAGGAACACCGGUGGCGAAGGCGGGUCUCUGGGCAGUAACUGACGCUGAGGAGCGAAAGCGUGGGGAGCGAACAGGAUUAGAUACCCUGGUAGUCCACGCCGUAAACGGUGGGUACUAGGUGUGGGUUUCCUUCCCUGGGAUCCGUGCCGUAGCUAACGCAUUAAGUACCCCGCCUGGGGAGUACGG